rnacentral:rRNA from 1 species
UACGGGGGGGGCAAGCGUUGUUCGGAAUUACUGGGCGUAAAGGGCUCGUAGGCGGCCAACUAAGUCAGACGUGAAAUCCCCCGGCUUAACCCUGGGAACUGCGUCUGAUACUGGACGGCUUGAGUAUGGGAGAGGGAUGUAGAAUUCCAGGUGUAGCGGUGAAAUGCGUAGAUAUCUGGAGGAAUACCGGUGGCGAAGGCGGCAUCCUGGACCAUUACUGACGCUGAGGCGCGAAAAGCUAGGGGAGCAAACGGGG